GUUAGCGAGGUAGCCGACGCUGUGUAACUCGGGCUAACGCGUUACAAUGAGCUGUUCGUUCAGUGUCCGGCUAGCAUUAACUUGUUAGCAGGCCAUGAACCACAUUAGUGUCUCACUAGCAUUAGCUUGUUAGUCGACCUAGGGUUCGGUUAGCAUUAAGUUCCUAACGUGUCACGACGAGCUGACUCCCGCGGCGACUAGCUCGGAUUUAACACCCGCUGCUAGUCCUAGCUACUUACGGGCUAACGUGUCGAGAUGAGCCUGGUGUAGCCUAGCCUCACCCCUUUCCGCUAACCAUGUCUACGGCUCCUACUCCCGCCAAAAGGUCGGAGCUGAAAGCCAAAGAGGCUGCAUCCCGCCCGUGCCCCGCAUCAUGUGGUGCCACCAUCUCGGGCAGGGACCCUCAUCCAAUGUGCAUCGUCUGUAUGGGUGCCAAGCAUGCUCAGGCUUCACUGGCGGACCCUCAGGGAUGCCCACACUGUGCUUUGAUGCCAGAGAAAGUCCUGGAAAGGAGGCUGAGAGUAGCAGUAACGAACAGUCAGGACCCCUGCCUGUCGGCCGCUACUGCUACGAGCGAUAUCCGUCAUCCGCGAGCCUCCACAAGCUGGGCGGACAUGAUGGAAGAAGAGUCCCCGCUCCUGCCCCCAUCAUUCGAGGACCUCCUCGAUCAAAACGUGGGCGAGCCGGGUGGCGAGGACGCGGAGGGCGAUGCCGACUCCAACCUCCUUGACCUGGAGGACAUGGAUGAGGAACAGGAGGAUGACUCUGCCUUUCCUCCCCAGCAGUCCAGGCCACCGAGUGGGGCUGAAGUUGCACCCCCGGUGGACAGCAAUUUGUACGAGGUCUGCAAACGGGCUGCUGCCAAGCUAGGCAUCCCAUGGCCAGCCGCCCAGGAUGCCGAAGGGGCAGAAUGCGACCUGUAUGAUGGCAAGAGGCUCCCGCCAGCCAUGCCGCCAUCGAAGCAGCUUCUGCCAGCAGUCCCGGCCUGCAUGAAAGAAAUGAGUCGCUAUUGGUCAAGCCCUUUUAAAAGCAAGCUUCCGACCAAGGGCUGCUCUAAGCUUGAGAUCCAGGGGAUGGGUGAACUGGGGCUGACCGAACCCCCAGCAGUGGAGCCUUCAGUGGUGUAUCACCUUCACCCUAACUGCAGGGCAAUCUCAGCUUCUUCUAGCAUUUCUUUGCCCAACAAGAUAGAUCGCCUCACGGCAUCUAUUUAUCAAAGGAGUUACAAAUACGCUGCACAGUCAGUAUGCUCGCUUAAUGCAGUCACACUGCUAUCAGCAUAUCAGGCAGAAAUUCUGGAAGACAUGGGCCGUCAGCUUGACUCGGGUUCCCCGAACCCAGCCCUCUGGGAUGAAAUCUGCGUGGUUAAUGAUCUCAUUCUUCGCUCCUCCAGGGGAGCAGUCCAAGGGUGUGGCCAUGUUAUGGGCCUUGCAGUCUCGGGUGAGAGAGCCUUGUGGCUAAACCUGUCAGGCCUAGGUGAUGCUCAGAAGGCUGAGGUCAUGGAUGCAGCCUAUGACCCAACCAAGGGUCUCUUUGGUCCAGCCCUGGAGAGAAUGAGAGAAACAAGCACCCGCAGAAAGCAGGAGGGAGAAGCAUUCAACCUCUGCUUACCCAGAAAACCUAACUCUCAGCCCCAGCAGGUGCCAAGAGCUGGCUUUGCCGCUACAGCAGCAGCUGUGAGAGGGAGACAGAGUGGGGUCAGAAUGCAGAGAGGAGCAGGUGGCCAGCAGGGUGCCCACCAGGCCAAGGUAGAGAACCAAAGACCUUGGGGCAAGCAACAAGCCAUCACACCCCGGAGAGGGGAAAAAGAAGCGGUCAGCAUAGCACACCUGCAACAUUCUGUGUCACCCCUCCCUUCUCCCCCAAAGAGAAGAAAGGUGUUAGAAGGGGUAACCAAAUCACUCAAAGGUUCAGGGUCUCCGGAAGUUUCCAAUUCACCAGGAGCACCCUCUCAGUCUCCUCCUCCAGUUCAGGGAGGACAGACUUGUGGACAAAUGGCGCAGUGUCACCAAGCACUCCUAAGCACUCUGUCUGUGUCACCAAACACUGCCCAGAGUCACCAGACAAUUCACUGUGGUUUGGGGGUAACAAAAGAAAUAAAACGUGCAUUUCUGCAGCCAGGCAGUUUGCCAAGGGCAAAAUGUCCCCCCAGUUUCAAAAUAAAAACAAAAGAAAAUCACUGCCAUUUGUCUUUGU
rnacentral:lncRNA from 1 species